rnacentral:rRNA from 1 species
ACGGGUGAGUAACACGUAGGCAACCUGCCCUCAAGCUUGGGACAACUACCGGAAACGGUAGCUAAUACCGAAUACUUGUUUUCUUCGCCUGUAGGGAACUGGAAAGACGGAGCAAUCUGUCACUUGAGGAUGGGCCUGCGGCGCAUUAGCUAGUUGGUGAGGUAACGGCUCACCAAGGCGACGAUGCGUAGCCGACCUGAGAGGGUGAUCGGCCACACUGGGACUGAGACACGGCCCAGACUCCUACGGGAGGCAGCAGUAGGGAAUCUUCCGCAAUGGGCGAAAGCCUGACGGAGCAAUGCCGCGUGAGUGAUGAAGGUUUUCGGAUCGUAAAGCUCUGUUGCCAGGGAAGAACGCUUAGGAGAGUAACUGCUCCUGAGGUGACGGUACCUGAGAAGAAAGCCCCGGCUAACUACGUGCCAGCAGCCGCGGUAAUACGUAGGGGGCAAGCGUUGUCCGGAAUUAUUGGGCGUAAAGCGCGCGCAGGCGGUCAUUUAAGUCUGGUGUUUAAUCCCGGGGCUCAACCCCGGAUCGCACUGGAAACUGGGUGACUUGAGUGCAGAAGAGGAGAGAGGA